rnacentral:RNase_P_RNA from 1 species
CCGGUUCGGUUUCCGGAUCGGAGGAAAGUCCGAACACCAUAGGGCAGGGUGCUCCAUAACGUGGAGUCGCGGUGACGCGAAGGCAAGUGCAACAGAAAGCAAACCGCCUCGCCUCGGCGGGGUAAGGGUGAAACGGUGCGGUAAGAGCGCACCAGUUCUUGGCCUGCUCCGGCCGUUC